rnacentral:rRNA from 1 species
AGUCGAGCGGAACGAAGAGGUGCUUGCACCUCUGGCGUCGAGCGGGGGCUGGGUGAGUAAUGCUUGGGAAUAUGCCUUAUGGUGGGGGACAACAGUUGGAAACGACUGCUAAUACCGCAUGAUGUCUACGGACCAAAGUGGGGGACCUUCGGGCCUCACGCAAUAAGAUUAGCCCAAGUGGGAUUAGCUAGUUGGUGAGGUAAUGGCUCACCAAGGCGACGAUCCCUAGCUGGUUUGAGAGGAUGAUCAGCCACACUGGGACUGAGACACGGCCCAGACUCCUACGGGAGGCAGCAGUGGGGAAUAUUGCACAAUGGGCGCAAGCCUGAUGCAGCCAUGCCGCGUGUGUGAAGAAGGCCUUCGGGUUGUAAAGCACUUUCAGUAAGGAGGAAAGGUUAAGUGUUAAUAGCACUUAGCUGUGACGUUACUUACAGAAGAACCACCGGCUAACUCCGUGCCAGCAGCCGCGGUAAUACGGAGGGUGCGAGCGUUAAUCGGAAUUACUGGGCGUAAAGCGUACGCAGGCGGUUUGUUAAGCGAGAUGUGAAAGCCCCGGGCUCAACCUGGGAACUGCAUUGCGAACUGGGAUACUAGAGUGUGAUAGACGGUGGUAGAAUUUCAAGUGUAUCGGU